rnacentral:misc_RNA from 1 species
CAGAGUUCUCGCCCUCGCGGGUAGAUCUCCCACCCACUGUUAUUGCUACCGUGUUGCUUUGGCGGGCUGCUGGGCCUAGCCCGGCCGCCGGCUCCGGCUGGUACGCGCCCGCCAGAGGACCCCAAACCCUGAAUGUUAGUGUCGUCUGAGUACUAUAUAAUAGUUA